CCUACGGGUGGCAGCAGUGGGGAAUAUUGCACAAUGGGGGGAACCCUGAUGCAGCGACGCCGCGUGGGUGAAGGAGUAUUUCGGUAUGUAAAGCCCUAUCAGCAGGGAAGAACAAUGACGGUUCCUGACUAAGAAGCACCCGCUUAAUACGUUCCAGCAGCCGCGGUAAUACGGAGGGUGCAAGCGUUAUCCGGAUUUACUGGGUGUAAAGGGGGCGCAGGCGGGGCGUUAAGCCUGGUGUGAAAGUCCGCGGCCCAACCGCGGGACUGCAUUGGGAACUGGCGCGCUGGAGUGCCGGAGGGGUAAGCGGAAUUCCUGGUGUAGCGGUGAAAUGCGUAGAUAUUAGGAGGAACACCAGUGGCGAAGGUGGCCUACUGGACGGUGACUGACGCUGAGGCUCGAAAGCGUGGGGAGCAAACAGGAUUAGAUACCCCUGUAGUC
rnacentral:rRNA from 1 species